CCUUACCAGGGUUUGACAUGCAAGUGGUAGGAAUCCGAAAGGUGACCGACCCUUCGGGGAGCUUGCACAGGUGCUGCAUGGCUGUCGUCAGCUCGUGUCGUGAGAUGUUCGGUUAAGUCCGCUAACGAGCGCAACCCUCGUCGUGUGUUAUACGUGUCACACGAUACUGCCGGUAUCAAGCCGGAGGAAGGUGGGGAUGAUGUCAAGUCAGCAUGGCCUUUAUAUCCUGGGCUACACACACGCUACAAUGGCAGAUACAAUAGGUUGCGAAACCGCGAGGUGGAGCCAAUCCUCAAAGUCUGUCUCAGUUCAGAUUGUAGGCUGCAACUCGCCUGCAUGAAGUUGGAGUUGCUAGUAAACGCAGGUCAGCUAUACUGCGUUGAAUACGUUCCCGGGGUUU
rnacentral:rRNA from 1 species